CCUUGUAGAAGGCCAUGAGGUGAAGGCCUUGAUCCCCACAGAUGGAGUUUUUCCUCCUAGUGACAAUGAAGUCACUCUUCCUGGGGUGGGAGUUUUCCUGUGAUGUGAAUGUCUGCCCUGACUUCUCAGCUCAAACUCGAGUGGCCUUGCUUGUGUGAGGUGAGGGGGUGGGAACAGGAGGCCUGUCUCAGCCAGGCUUGAGUGAGGUAAGUGGUAGGGUACCAAAGCAGUGGCAGCUUAAUAGCCUCCUCCCUUUGGCUCACUUGCUUGUUUUGGUCUGUUUGUCCUGUAGAAAUCACCAUCCAGCACCAGCCACCCACCUAAAAUCAAGGUGAAGAGCUCACCUCUGAUUGAGAAGCUCCAGGCCAAUUUAGCCUUUGAUCCGGCAGCUCUUCUGCCUGGGGCUUCACCCAAAAGUCCCGGACUCAAGGCCAUGGUGUCGCCAUUUCACAGUCCCCCUUCCACACCCAGUAGCCCUGGCAUCCGAUCCCACCCAGGUGAGGCAGAAGAGGUGCCUGUGAGCUUUGACCAGCCUCCGGAAGGUACUCACCUGCCCUCUUACAAUAAGGUAAGGACUAGAGGCUCAAUAAAAAGACGUCCUCCCUCGAGGCGAUUCCGAAGGUCUCAGUCGGACUGUGGGGACCUCAGAGAUUACAGAGCUGUGGAACCAUCUCAGGAAAACGGUGCCAGGGAAGAAAAUGGGGAUGACGUGUUUCCUAGCAAGAGCAAGGACCCCGGGUCCCCCCAACCCAA
rnacentral:lncRNA from 1 species